AGUUUGAUCCUGGCUCAGAGCGAACGUUAGCGGCGCGCCUAACACAUGCAAGUCGCACGAGAAAGGGGGCAACCCCCGGUACAGUGGCGCACGGGUGAGUAACACGUGGGUGAUCUGCCCAGAAGAAGGGGAUAACCUCUCGAAAGGGGGGCUAAUACCGCAUAGGACCACCGGGGCUCUGGCUCUGUGGUGAAAGGGGGCCUCUGUUUACAAGCUCCUGCUUCUGGAUGAGCCCCGCGUCCCAUCAGCUAGUUGGUAGGGUAAUGGCCUACCAAGGCUACGACGGGUAGCUGGUCUAAGAGGAUGGCCAGCCACACUGGAACUGAGACACGGUCCAGACUCCUACGGGAGGCAGCAGUGGGGAAUCUUGCGCAAUGGCGAAAGCCUGACGCAGCGACGCCGCGUGGGUGACGAAGGCCUC
rnacentral:rRNA from 1 species